rnacentral:rRNA from 1 species
CACGCCGUAAACGAUGAGUACUAGGUGUAGGGGGUAUCGACCCCCCCUGUGCCGCAGUAAACACAAUAAGUACUCCGCCUGGGAAGUACGAUCGCAAGAUUAAAACUCAAAGGAAUUGACGGGGACCCGCACAAGCAGCGGAGCAUGUGGUUUAAUUCGAAGCAACGCGAAGAACCUUACCAGGGUUUGACAUCCAACUAACGAAGCAGAGAUGCAUUAGGUGCCCUUCGGGGAAAGUUGAGACAGGUGG